GUGAAGGAACUUAGGACUGAAUUCACAGUUUUAUACCAGGGUGAAUUUCUCACAAGUCUGCAUUUGACAUAAAGUAGAUCCAGGAGUUGAAGGACAGUCUGGACUUGAAGGUUUUCACUGAUGGGUUUGAAACAGACAUGUGAGGCCCAGCGAGGCAUGAGGCCUGGAGUCAGGUUACCUGGUACAGCUUGGUCUUGGUGGGUCAUGUCUGGGGAUCCCUGCAUAUUACUUUAUCUUUCUUUCACUCAAUUUCUGUAUUUCCAUUAGUGAAAGGAACAAAAUAAGACCUACUCUGCUGGCUUCUCACAGGUUUCAGGUGAGAAAUAUGGAGAUAUUGUCAGAAGAAAGAGCUGAGAUGUGUUACGUACAUGCAUCAUGUACAUGUACCAACUCCCCACAAGUCACAUCUGGAAAAAUUUUGACAGUGAAGUCUGAAGUACAUACUGGAGGUGUUUAUUGAAUUCUCACUGGGUUAAAUCAACAGUAUCCUUUUCCCUGAAUGUUUGAUGCAAUGUGACAACCUUUCCUUCUUUAUAUUUUACAAAGCUUCUGUUGGUCAGGGGAAAAACAUUUUUACAAUCAGUAUUAUUGAGAUAUAAUUUAUAUGCAGUGUGCUGUGCUUUAUUUUAAGUGAAUUACUGUUUCUUUUUCUCUUUAGAGUCAUGCUUGGAAUGCAGAGUUGGAGGAUGUUGCAGGUAUUCAUCUCCCUUGUGGCUGAUUUUGGCUUUAUCAGGUCACAGAGGAUUGGUAAUACAUAAGAGUAUUUAAAUCCAUAUGAUUACCCCGCCAAGAACUUAGCAGUAGUAAUAGAUUUAAGAUAAAAUCUUACAGGAGCUUCAUGAUUAAUAAAAAAACAAUUGAUUCAUUGAAGGAGAAUUUAAUCGGAAUCCAGAAGCUUAAUUUCAAAUGGUAAAAAGCCGAUAUUAAAAGCCCUGAACUUUUGAUGCAUUACCAGAGGCAUGCUGAUGCUUUUGGGAAAAGGCUCGUUCUGCAUUCUUAGCUUCUUUGGCAGAAGUGUUCUGAGGAAUAACUGUCAUCAUAAGAUGGUAGCUUCACAGAAUGCUAGUGACAGUCUGCAGUUUCUUGCAGUUUUUGAAUAAGCAGUUAGAGCUUUUCAAGAUGAAAGUCUUAUAAAGAGAAGAUUUAGUAGCCUCAAGCUCUAUGGAUACUCUAUUGAGAUAUAUGUAUUCAAAUAUGAAAGCACAGAUUGUUACUUCUUGGGGGAAACAUGAAGCUCUCUGAAUUUUUUCCGUGGGGUGAGCUGUUCUCCUAGUGAACAAAAGCUAAGACAGUCAGUCUUGUCAUAUUUCAAACACUUUCUUUAUUAUUUUUUUAAAUUUUAUUUUAAAGAGAAUAAAACAAUAAAACCAAUCAAAACAAACCAGUGUAAAAGAUACAGGACUUCAAAACAUUACAAAAUCAGCAAUAGUUACCAUAAUGCCUUUUGAUGCCUUCAAAAUAGCUGCAGAUAACUUCUGAUAUAGUAAAAAUCAAACAGAAAGGAUAGAAUAGAAACAAGAAAAAUGAAACAAUGAAUGCAAUAAAAGAUUUCAAUACAAACCAAUAGUAAAUUGCUACUAUAAUAUAUCUUGCCAUCCUUGGAAUAGCUGCUCUUGCCAUCAGACUUAAUAUAAUCAAACAAAACAAAAGAGAAUAAAGCCUAACCCAGCAAAACAAUGAAAAUGAUAUAGGACCUCAAAACAAGACCAUGGGUAAUCAACAAUGGCUGCAACCCUCCGAAGAAGGUCUCCUAGCGUGUGGCAUCCUCUGAACCUAUGAUCAGACCACUGGCCCUAGACCUGCAAUAUUAGUGAAACAGCAAAUCACCACAGGCAUCCAAUUGUAUCACCUCCAGAGCUAUCAUCACAGCCUGUGUUUUUCUGGAUAAGCUGGUCACUGACAUGGUGGGGUGAGGGUUGGCAUUUUUGGUUUGUCAGCCCAUGUGCUAGAAGGGUCUUGAGUCUAGUUGUUCCCAGUCUGGCAGUGGCCUGUGCAUGGUACUGGUUCCCAGACUGCGCUGGUUUGCUAGUAUGGCCUUCUCAAAUACCUUCUGAAAGUACAAAGAACUAGUUUUUAGUGGAGGGGUUAAGGAAGUGGCAGUGUUUGACAAUGUAAAAGAUCUCUGUAUUGUAUAUGAUGAACCCAGUACCUGCUUGAGAAACAGUCUGCAGUGGGUAUGUUUGUUAUGCUUGGAAAGACCAGAAAAACACUCCUGAGAGAGACAUGCAGGGGAUAAAUCACCCCUGGAACCCCAAGCAGAAACAUUGAAAUAACACCCAGGAUUUGGAGGCAGAUUAUAUACUUACACAAGCACUGACUGGGAUCAUUCCCAAAAUAUCAGACCCUGAUCUCUGAUGAUCUAGGGCUAUGUGAAGUAAGCAAGCAGGAUGUAGAGAGGCAGAAUGACUUUUCAAUAGGGGAUUGGUUCUUAGAAUAUGAAUCAUACUGACCAGAUAUGUAUCACAGUGACCAGCUGUUUUAAAUAAACAAAAGUAACAGGAACUGUAACCAGAACCUGGGCAGCCAAUGAACUGAAGUAUACUGGCUGGGGUGUGUGGGGCAGUGGACUGCUGUUAUAGAACAGUCACUAAAAUCUUCUGAGUGACCUCCCUUUUUGCCUGAAAGGACAAAGGGAAAAAUCCUAAAAGACCUGAAGCUCACUUAUUGUCUGCGAUUCCCAUGAUCAGGCUCCAUUUGGCUUCAUGAUGAACUUUAGGUAAACUUCCACCAGGUGGGACCCAGGACACCAGAAGUUUCAAAUGGAUUUAAUUUCUUUGGAAUAGACUAACUUCUGUACCCAGCCCUCCUCUGUGUAAGCUCUCACUUGGUCUUUACUUUCUGUAACAUGGAGUUUUUUGUUUCAUUAGUAUAUAUUUACAAUCCGUAAUAGUGAUCAUUUUGGGGAAUUGUUCCAUGCAUAUAACAUCAUUUGAUCACUUUUAACCCCUUUACCCUCCUCUCCUUUUCUUUGUUCUUCCUGCAGAUUCCCUUCUGAGUCUCCAAAAAAGUAGGCCUUCUCAUUUCCUACCAUCUCUUCCUUAAUUAAUUUAUUAAUUGAUUUUUGAGGUUUCUCAUGUAAGAACAACAAGGUGAUAUUGAACUGUUUGUGUCUAACUUGCUUCCCUUAGUGUUAUGAUUUCCCGUCCAUUGUCCUGCGCAUGUCGGGAUUUCAUUCUUCUUUAUCACUGUCAAAGCUACUUUGCUCAUUGCUGAGACACAAUACCUGCUGUCCAUAACUUCAAGGAGGACAGGUUUAUUUUGGCCCCUGUUUUUCAAGGUUCAGACCUUGCAUGGUCAGGCAGUAGAGUGGAAAGGCUUGGGGAGAAGGCGGUAACACACCUGACUGACAGUCAGGGAGCAACAAGAGUGCAGAGAGAAGCUAGGGAGAAAGACCUGCCCCAGACUGGUCUUUUCCCAGCAGGCCCCACUCUUAAUAGUUAGCUGUUCCACCCUACUCACCCUCCAAAAACGGAGCCUUUGGGAACCAUUUUGAAUGUAAACCAUUGCAAUGACUGAAUAAUGUUCCAUUGUGUAUAUGUAGCAUGGAUUUUUAAUUUAAUUUUUAUGUUAGUCCAGUAUAUGAAAGGAUGCUAGAGACUUAGGCUCUGUUCAGGUUUUUGAAUGGAUUUACAUGAAAUGCUUUGCCUUUUCAGGUCUUAUUUUCCUUCUCUGUGAGUUGGAUUCUUCAUCCUAUACUCAUGCUGUCCAAUAUGAUAGUUAUGAGCUAAUAUGACUGUUUGAAUGAAAACGCAGUAAAAUGUGAAAUUCAGAUUCUCUACCCUACCAGCUACAUCUCACACGCUCAACAGCCAUGUGCACCUAGAGCUGAAAUACUGCAUCGUAUAGGGUGGUUUCAUUUUGAUUUUACAUUUUUUUAUAUUUUGAUUUUCUCAUUUGUUUUUGCUGUCAUCCAAGAUUUUUGUCCUAGCAAGUAUUGUCACUCCCCUCACUGUAGUCAAAGAUGCACAGUUCCCUUGUUGCAGAGGAUGGGGUGCCAUUCAGGGGAGGGAGUCUACUGGGUACCAGCAGCACCCACUACUGGUAGAAAGCUGGGGUCCUUUAUUAAGUUCAAGGGAUGUGUGGAGCUCCCCGGGAGAGGGAUCUGACAGAAGGGUCUACUGUCUGAAAGGAGGGUGGCAGGUUAGCAGGCUAGGUGGCGGGACGAGGAGGCCAAGGAAGAUGACAGUGUCCAAUUAUGUGUAUGCUGGUGACUGACAGAUAGCUCCAGGAUAUAAAACAUUACACUGUGAGAGGUGGGUUCCCAACUGUAGCUGCCAAUUGUGUAAAGAUUUAUCUUAAAGUGACUCUCAGUCUGCAGGGAGGCCACUGUGGGAGACGUCUUUCUUGUGGACAGCAGCAUUGAUCCCCCAAGAGGCCCCCAGUGUGCAGAACUUCUUGUACACCUUUAUAAACAGCUUCAAUGUGAGCAGCAAGACCAUCUGAGUGGGUCUGGCCCACUCAGUACAGUGAUGCACCCUGUUUGGAGUUGCUGCUUUUUACCUACCCCUGACAGGGUGUAUGUUGGGACGUAUCUAGAGGCUUUAGUUCAAGCCAAGGGCAGGAAGGUGGGCCUGACCCUGCAGUUUAUCCUGGAGCACCACUUCCAGGAAGGACAGGGAGCUGGGCCAGGCAAGGGGUGCCUCAGAUCGUGUGGUGAUCAGUACUGGCCCAGCUAAGGACCAUUUGCAUGAACCUGCUGAGUUAAUUAGGGGGGCAGGCAUCCUGCUUUAUGUGGUUGGCAUCAGAGACACAGUUAGGGUAGAACUCAGGGAGACUGUGAGUCAGCCUGAGGACAGGGUCACCUCUUUGUUCCCAGCUUCUCUGGUCUGGGCAGUGUCAUCCAGAAGCUGAUGCCAGAACUCUGUGAUACUCUGGCAAAGCCAGCUCAGCUUGUUGACCAUGUGUCACCAGGUACAUACGUCUUCUCUCUUUCUGACCUGGAUAUUGUAAAACGUGAAGCUUUAUCUCUUUUUCACCCAAGAAUGCAGCCAAAAUCUUGAGGCAUCUGGACAAAUUAACUUAGCAGGGAAGAAGAGGAAGGGCUGCUUUGGAUUUCCUGAGGAAGGAAGUUUGCUUUCAGGAGAGGGGCAGCAGGUCUGGGCAAGGUGUGCAGCAGAUAGCUGUGGUCAUCACAGAUGCUUUCUCUGCGGACAGUGUGUCCAGGCUGGCUUCUGGCCUCCACAGGACUGAGGUUAACAUUUAUGUGGUGGGCACACAGUAUGCCUCGAAGGGCAGGGACCUGGAGAAGAUGGCCGCAAAUCCUCCUUGGAAGCACAGAAUCCCUCUUGAAUCCUUUCUGCAAUGUUCCCUCACAGGAAGCAAGCUUACAGACCUGCUGUGCCCAGAGAUGACGAGGUCAAGGGCUGCUCCUUUAAAGGGGUUAUGCCCUACAGGAAGGUAGAGGGCCAUUCUCAAAUUUAUCUCCUAUUUUUAAGUGUGAAUCUGCCUGCUCCUCAUUCCUGCCAUCUGUAUCUCCCACCAAAAAAAACAAGUUUUGAAUUAAUUUAUUAAAAAUCAGAAACCCAAGCUGAGUGUGUGCGACAUGGGUUUAGUCUCAGCACUCUGAUAGAACGAAGCAGGAGGAUGGCAAAUUCAAGCCCAGCCCAGGCAACUUGGUGACUUACAGAGAUCCUGUAAUAUAAGAAAGAAAGAAAGAAAGAAAGAAAGAAAGAAAGAAAGAAAGAAAGAAAGAAAGAAAGAAAGAAAGAAAGAAAGAA